rnacentral:rRNA from 1 species
CCUACGGGGCGCUGCAGCUAAGAAUCUUCCGCAAUGGACGAAAGUCUGACGGAGCGACGCCGUGUGAAUGAAGAAGGCCGAAAGGUUGUAAAAUUCUUUUGCAGAUGAAGAAUAAGGGGAAGAGGGAAUGCUUCUCUGAUGACGGUAGUCAUGCGAAUAAGCCCCGGCUAAUUACGUGCCAGCAGCCGCGGUAACACGUAAGGGGCGAGCGUUGUUCGGAAUUAUUGGGCGUAAAGGGUAUGUAGGCGGUUAGGUAAGCCUGGUGUGAAAUCUACGAGCUCAACUCGUAAACUGCAUUGGGUACUGCUUAACUUGAAUCACGGAGGGGAAACCGGAAUUCCAAGUGUAGGGGUGGAAUCUGUAGAUAUUUGGAAGAACACCGGUGGCGAAGGCGGGUUUCUGGCCGAUGAUUGACGCUGAUAUACGAAGGUGCGGGGAGCAAACAGGAUUAGAUACCCCUGUAGUC